rnacentral:rRNA from 1 species
GAUUAUGGCUCAGAACGAACGCUGGCGGCAUGGAUUAGGCAUGCAAGUUGAACGAACUCCUUCGGGAGUGAGUAGCGGAAGGGUGAGGAACGCGUGAGUAAUCUGCCCCCCAGUUGGGAAUAACAGUUGGAAACGACUGCUAAUACCGAAUGUGGCUUAAGCUUCGCCUGGAGCUUUGGCUAAAGAUUUAUCGCUGGGGGAUGAGCUCGCGUCCCAUUAGGUAGUUGGUGAGGUAACGGCUCACCAAGCCGACGAUGGGUAGCUGGUCUGAGAGGAUGGUCAGCCACACUGGGACUGAGACACUGCCCAGACUCCUACGGGAGGCUGCAGUCGAGAAUCUUGGGCAAUGCGCGAAAGCGUGACCCAGCAAUGCCGCGUGUAUGAUGAAGGCCCUCGGGUCGUAAAGUACUGUCUCCCGUGACGAAAUUUGACGGUAGCGGGGAAGGAAGCCACGGCUAACUACGUGCCAGCCGCCGC